CCUACGGGAGGCUGCAGUGGGGGAUAUUGCACAAAGGAGGAAACUCUGAUGCAGCAACGCGGCGUCAGGGGCGAAGUUCUUCGGAUUGUAAACCUCUGUCCUCAGGGACGAUAAUGACGGUACCUGAGGAGGAAGCUCCGGCUAACUACGUGCCAGCAGCCGCAGGAGUCCGUAGGGAGCAAGAGUGUUCCGGAUUUACUGGGGGUGAAGGGUGCGUAGGCGGCCCUGCAAGUCCGGUGUGAAAACUAUGGGCUUAACUCAUAGAUUGCACGUGAAACUGUGGGGAUUGAGUGAAGUAGAGGCAGGCGGAAUUCCCGGUGUAGCGGUGAAAUGCGGAGAGAUCGGGAAUAACAACAGUGGCGACGGCGGCCUGCUGGGCUUUAACGGACGCUGAGGCACGAAAGCGUGGGUAGCAAACAGGAUUAGAUACCCCAGUAGAC
rnacentral:rRNA from 1 species